rnacentral:rRNA from 1 species
CCUACGGGAGGCUGCAGUGAGGAAUAUUGGUCAAUGGGCGGGAGCCUGAACCAGCCAAGCCGCGUGAGGGAAGAAGGUACAGCGUAUCGUAAACCUCUUUUGUCAGGGAACAAAGGCGGGGACUAGUCCCCGGAUGAGGGUACCUGAAGAAAAAGCAUCGGCAAACUCCGUGCCAGCAGCCGCGGUAAUCCGGAGGAUGCGAGCGUUAUCCGGAUUUAUGGGGUUUAAAGGGUGCGCAGGCGGCCUGUUAAGUCAGCGGUAAAAGCCCGGGGCUCAACCCCGGCGAGCCGUUGAAACUGGCGGGCUGGAGUGGGAGAGAGGUACGCGGAAUGCGCGGUGUAGCGGUGAAAUGCUUAGAUAUCGCGCAGAACCCCGAUUGCGAAGGCAGCGUACCGGCUCCACACUGACGCUGAGGCACGAAAGCGUGGGUAUCGAACAGGAUUAGAUACCCCAGUAGUC